rnacentral:piRNA from 1 species
GCACAUCUUGAUUGACUUGGGUGUUGGUU